rnacentral:lncRNA from 1 species
UCUUUGCCCUUCCUGAAUUGAUGUGUUAUUUUAGAAUAAGCGCCAGACUGGAAACCAAGUAAUGGUGUCAUUUCAUAGUUUGCUCCUUUACUGAUUUCAAGAUGAAAUAAGCAUGAUGCUGAAGAACAGAGCCUCCUACUGUCCUUUCCAGUUUGAAACAGCUUUCAGAUGAAGAGGCAUCUCCCCUGCAGUGACUGCUUGAGGAUAGGAGAGUGGAUAGGGAAAGUGAGGGUUGGAUCUGUAAUAGCACUGCAGAGUACCAUAGAAUAGCUAGCAAUUUGGGAAAAUAUUCCAGGGAGAUGCUUGCCCUUAGUCCAAGGCUGAAAGCUGUCAACCUUUCCUCUGCUACCCUAGUUGUAUCCUGAAGAACAGUCUCCCACCAGCUGCUUGGGUCCUGGUGACUAUUUCUCCCUCCCAGUGCAGACCCCAGCUUUGUCACUCACUGUGUAAUAUGUAUGCACAUUACUGUUAAAUGAUUCAUGUAUAUGGUCUGCUAUUCUCUAUCAGUUCCCAUUUUCUACUAUAAUUCUCUUAACUUUUUAUUUACCUUUUGAUUGAUUUCUUUUGACUCUUUCCACCUGCCCAAAUUGGCUUUUAUCUUUGAACUUUCAAAUAAAUUUAACUCUAAAUUAUAAAUAAUUGCCAAACAUUAGACUAAUAUGCGCAUAAUAGCUUUAUUUUAGUUUACCUAGUAAUAAUCUUAGUGUGUAAUUAUUGUUAAGGUUUCUGAUUCUGAUGGUAAAUAUUGCUUGUUUUCAUAUACAUCAGGGGUAUGUGAUAUUUUUCUUUCUUCCUUUUUUUUUUUUUUUUUUUCUCCUUGGGGCAUCUUGGAUUUCUUUUCCCUUCCUAUAAACUGUGACCCCUGCAUGGCUAUGCCUUGUCCCUCAUCGUCUGUAGGGUUCUAUGGCCUACACGAGUCUGACCUUGACAAGGUCUUCCACUUACCCACCACCACUUUCAUCGGGGGACAGGAGCCAGCACUUCCUCUUCGGGAGAUCAUCCGUCGGCUGGAGGUAAGAACAGUUCUUGGAAAAAUCUAACAGAUGUCAUACCUGGCUAUUUGUUUGGCUUUGGUCCUGUGGGUUUUUUUGUUUGUUUUUUUUUUUUGUUUUGUUUUUAAACUCUUUUUAUUUAUUUAUUAUAUGUUAAGUACACUUUAGCUGUCUUCAGACACACCAGAAGAGGGCGCCAGAUCUCAUUACAGAUGGUUGUGAGCCACCAUGUGGUUGCUGGUAUUUGAACUCCGGACCUUCGGAAGAGCAGUCGGGUGCUCUUACCCACUGAGCCAUCUCUCCAGCCCGGUCCUGUGGUUUUAAGAAACUGAAAGAUAACCAAUUUCUUUUUUCUGUUUUAUAGCUAGAAACUUUUAAAAAAUUUUUUUGAAACUUACUUUUUUAUUAAAAACUUUUUUAAAAAAAUACUUUUGGAUCCCUUUAGAUUUUAUUUCAGGUGCAGUUGUCACCCUGGAAAUUUUCCUCUACUUUAUAGAGCCUGGAGCUAUUGAUUGCACUACACAGUGGUGGCUGCUCCUGUCCUACCCCUUCCUUUCCUUUCUCCCAUUCUUGUUUUACUUUUCCUUCCUUCCUGACCUGUUUAUAUAUCCUACAAACAGCAGCUGAGAGCCUGGCUUUGUGUCGGGCCGCUUGUGCGGUGCCUGUCUGCCUCUCUCAGACAGGUUAUUGCCACUGUUCGGUAUAUAAGGGUAACUGAGGUGCCUAUUUCAGAAGGGAAUGGAUUUGGUCCAUUAUUCGAUGUUGCUGCUAUGGUAUUCAGAUUUCAUGAACCCAGUUUGAAACAGUCACAGUCAGGGAUCUCUGAGGGGCUCCUGCCCUGGUUGGACGUUAGAGCCUAGGUCACCUCAGUCAGGGCCUUUCCAUCCCCCAGUGGUUAAUGUUUGUUCCAGUGAGCUCAUCUUUUGCACGUUCCAAGUCUACACUUAGCACAAGAAAAUAUUUGAAUGUCAGAAGGGACGCUCUGUAUCCAUCCAAAGCACCUCAGCUAGGAGCUGCCUUGCUUCCUCACCGAUGGCCCUUCUCAGGAGAGCACGAAGUAGAACAUGCCUGUAUCAGUAGGAGUGGUGAACUUAGACUUGUUAAGGAUCAAUCCAAUGUGAGUUAACUUUGGGUCUCACCUGUGUGUUAUUGUCACCACAUUGAGUAUGCUGUCUAAGCCUGCCUUCUUCAUCGGAGCCACCUAUUAACUAUUAUUAGCACUGGAAGCUGGAUGGUGAUAGCGCACACCUUUAGUUCUAGCACUCAGGAAGCAGAGGUAGGCAGAACUCUUGAGUUUGAGGCCAACCUAGCCUAGAGAACUUGAAAUGGGCAAAAUGCCUGAAUAACUUUCAACUGUCGAAAUGAUAUGUUUAAUAUAUUGGCUCAAAUAAAAUAGGAAAAUUUAUCUCAUCUAUUUUUACUUGGAAAAUUGAGCUUACUGAAGAUGUAUUUGCUAAGUUCUGUUUAAUUGUAUCACAACUUAACACAUGCACACAUCACAUGUAAGUUCAGCAGCGCCACCAGUAUGAUAAUGAGAGACUUAUGUGCAUUCCUUAUUUCGAGUUGGGAUUAUUCCGUGGACAACAGUUAUAGCUUAGGCUUUCUGGGGUCUCGUGUAUUUCUUCUGGCUCUUGUUGACAUGGAUGUUAUCUCAUCCAGACCACACAGAUAAUGCCCCAUAUAAGUCAGGUCUCCCAUAAGAAGCCAUGUCCCAAGUGACUUGGCUUUUCUGUAUGUCCCAACCUUCAUCUUUCUUACUUAUUUAUUUCUUAAUAAAAUAAAGAAAUAUCUCUUGUUUAUUUCCCAUAAAAUUUUAAGUCCUGAAUAUCCUUGUGUGAAGGGGUGAGCAGCCUGUAGCAUGCUCAAGGGCUACCUCCCUUUUUCUCUCUGUUUAUCACAUCUGGUAGCUCUUGAAAAAAUUAGAGGUAGCGCUUCUCAACCCCCAGAAACUAGUUUCAUUAGAGCAGGAAGCUAAGAGUUUCCAAAACUUACACAACUUCCCAAAAGAAAUUGAGUUCUCCUGAAAACUGAACCAAGGAUCAAGGGGACAAAAACACUAUCUACUGUCCAGAUCUCCAACUGUAUCUCUGAAUUAAUGGCUAAGUAAUGCUGACAAGUUAGGGAGAAUGUUGUCUGGAUGGAGUCUUUAACUCAGUAGUGUUCUCUGAGCUUUUAGUUGUUCAGUAAUGGAAGCUCUGCCUCAUGGACUUAAGGGCAUAAAGGAUGGACCUGGGCUCAGCUCAGUAGUUACCAAGGGAAGUCUUCCGUCCUCAGCACUGCCAUCAGCAGGCCACACAGGGCAAUGAGAGGCAGAUCCGGGCCUCUGUGACAGACACCUGGUGCUAAUGGCUUCUCCAUUAUACAGAAGCACACCUUACUCUGCUGGUCACGUGCGAAACCUGAGACAUGACAAUAGACUCAAAGCUUAAGUUAUGGAUGGCUUAAUCUAAGUUAGAAGUUCUUGGGAGGCAAAGGCACAAAGAUCUCUCAGCUUGAGGCCAGCCUGGCAAAGUGUCAAGUCUACAUAAGUGAGACCCUGUCUCAAAAAUCC